UGUAGUUUGGCUGUAAAUCGGAAGAGAUAAAAGCAGGUGCAGCCUCAAGGUGGUCCCUGAAUAUUCCCUCAUAUCCCAUUCCUCACUUUGAGUACUGGGUGAUUUCUGAGACAGCUAUUGGAAAAGAGAAAUGCCUGAGGAGGGAGUUCAGAGAUUCCUUGUGGGACGUUUCCUACUGGUUUGAAUUAACAAACAAAGUUCUGUACAUAUUUUUAAAAGAGGAAUUCAAACAAACCCACAAAUCUGUGGAAGCCCUU
rnacentral:lncRNA from 1 species